UGGGGAAUAUUGGACAAUGGGCGAAAGCCUGAUCCAGCCAUGCCGCGUGCGGGAUGAAGGCCUUCGGGUUGUAAACCGCUGUCGUAGGGGAGAAAGGGUCGUUGAAGAAACGACUUUGAUCUAUCCUAGGAGGAAGUCCGGCUAACUACGUGCCAGCAGCCGCGGUAAUACGUAGGGACCAAGCGUUGUUCGGAUUUACUGGGCGUAAAGGGCGCGUAGGCGGCGUGGUAAGUCAUCUGUGAAAUCUCCGAGCUUAACUCGGAACGGUCAGAUGAUACUGCUGUGCUAGAGUACAGAAAGGGCAAUCGGAAUUCUUGGUGUAGCGGUGAAAUGCGUAGAUAUCAAGAGGAACACCUGAGGCGAAGGCGGGUUGCUAGGCUGAUACUGACGCUGAGGCGCGAAAGCUAGGGUAGCAAACGGGAUUAGAUACCCGCGUAGUCCCUGAGCGGGCUGGCAAGGCGCAU
rnacentral:rRNA from 1 species